rnacentral:rRNA from 1 species
AACGAACGCUGGCGGCAGGCUUAACACAUGCAAGUCGAACGCCCCGCAAGGGGAGUGGCAGACGGGUGAGUAACGCGUGGGAAUCUACCCAGAUCUACGGAACAACAGUUGGAAACGACUGCUAAUACCGUAUACGCCCUACGGGGGAAAGAUUUAUCGGAUUUGGAUGAGCCCGCGUUGGAUUAGCUAGUUGGUGGGGUAAUGGCCUACCAAGGCGACGAUCCAUAGCUGGUCUGAGAGGAUGAUCAGCCACACUGGGACUGAGACACGGCCCAGACUCCUACGGGAGGCAGCAGUGGGGAAUGUUGGACAAUGGGCGCAAGCCUGAUCCAGCCAUGCCGCGUGAGUGAUGAAGGCCUUAGGGUUGUAAAGCUCUUUCACCGAUGAAGAUAAUGACGGUAGUCGGAGAAGAAGCCCCGGCUAACUUCGUGCCAGCAGCCGCAGUAACAC